rnacentral:misc_RNA from 1 species
CCAGGCUCUUGAAGGCCUCUAGGACCUUGAAGUGAUAAUUCUGCUUCUUCCUUUGUGAUAAAUCCUUCCAUCCACUUAGGCGACGUAAAAUUCCACAUUGUGUUUAUCCGAUCUCUUGACAGGGUAAAAGCAACAGGGUAUAACCAACACCACAUCUUUUCAAAGUUUUCUUGGGCAAUAUACUCUUGACAUCCAGCAAUUCUUCUCAAAAGCUCAAAGUCCUGUUCCAUGAGCGAUCUGCUACUGCAGCAAGCAAUCUUCAUGAAUUGCUCUUCAAUCUC